CUCCAUCCUGAGUCCUUCUUAUCAACACCAUCAGUUUUUCCACCAGAUGACGCUGUUCCGGCACCUCCCAUCCUGACUCCAAACCCUUUUCAGCUACCUCCCCUGCUUCCUCCAAACCCCAUUCAGCCUCCUCCCUUGCUUCCUCCCAACCCUUUUCAGCCACCUCCCCUGCUUCCUCCAAACCCCUUUCAGCCUCCUCCCUUGCUUCCUCCCAACCCUUUUCAGCCACCUCCCCUGCUUCCUCCAAACCCCUUUCAGCCUCCUCCCUUGCUUCCUCCCAACCCUUUUCAGCCACCUCCCCUGCUUCCUCCAAACCCCUUUCAGCCUCCUCCCUUGCUUCCUCCCAACCCUUUUCAGCCGCCACCAGCUCCACUUAUUCCAAACCCGUUUCAGCCUCCUCCAGCUCCACUUAUUCCAAACCCGUUUCAGCCUCCCCCGGCUCCACUUUUUCCUCCAAACCCGUUUCAGCCUCCCCCGGCUCCACUUUUUCCUCCAAACCCGUUUCAGCCUCCUCCAGCUCCACUUAUUCCAAACCCGUUUCAGCCUCCCCCGGCUCCACUUUUUCCUCCAAACCCGUUUCGGCCUCCUCGAGCACCUCCGUCACCAUUGUUUCCUUUUCCACCAAUUCCAGGGCUAA
rnacentral:lncRNA from 1 species